GACCUGGCCGGGCGGUCUGCCUCACGGUUUGUACUGUCUGGCCGGGCCUUACCUCUUGGUGAGCCGGCAUGUCCUUUACUGGGUGUGUCGGGGAACCAGGACUUUUACUUUGAGAAAAUUAGAGUGUUCAAAGCAGGCCUAUGCCCGAAUACAUUAGCAUGGAAUAAUAGAAUAGGACGUGCGGUUCUAUUUUGUUGGUUUCUAGAGUCGCCGUA
rnacentral:rRNA from 1 species